ensembl:lncRNA
GUCCAAUAGAUGGGAGUCUCCUCCACUCUGUCCAAUAGACAGUCUCAUCCACUCUGUCCAAUAGAUGGGAGUCUCCUCCACUCUGUCCAAUAGACGGAGUCUUCUCCACUCUGUCCAAUAGACAGAGUCUCCAUCCCUCUGUCCAAUAGACGGAGUCUCCUCCACUCUGUCCAAUAGAUGGGAGUCUCCUCCAGUCUGUCCAAUAGACAGAGUCUCCUCCACUCUGUCCAAUAGAUGGGAGUCUCCUCCACUCUGUCCAAUAGAAUGGAGUCUCCUCCACUCUGUCCAAUAGACGGAGUAUCCUCCACUCUGUCCAAUAGACGGAGUAUCCUCCACUCUGUCCAAUAGAUGGGAGUCUCCUCCACUCUGUCCAAUAGAUGGGAGUCUCCUCCACUCUGUACAAUAGAUGGGAGUCUCCUCCACUCUGUCCAAUAGAUGGGAGUCUCCUCCACUCUGUCCAAUAGAUGGGAGUCUCCUCCACUCUGUCCAAUAGAUGGUAGUCUCCUCCACUCUGUCCAAUAGACAGGAUCUCCUCCACUCUGUCCAAUACAUGGGAGUCUCCUCCACUCUGUCCAAUAGAUGGGAGUCUCCUCCACUCUGUCCAAUAGAUGGGAGUCUCCUCCACUCUGUCCAAUAGACGGAGUCUCCUCCACUCUGUCAAAUAGACGGAGUCUCCUCCACUCUGUCCAAUAGACGGAGUCUCCUCCACUCUGUCCAAUAGACGGAGUCUCCUCCACUCUGUCCAAUAGACGGAGUCUCCUCCACUUUGUCCAAUAGACGGAGUCUCCUCCACUCUGUACAAUAGACGGAGUCUCCUCUACUCUGUCCAAUAGAUGGGAGUCUCCUCCACUCUGUCCAAUAGACGGAGUCUCCUCUACUCUGUCCAAUAGAUGGGAGUCUCCUCCACUCUGUCCAAUAGAUGGGAGUCUCCUCCACUCUGUCCAAAAGAUGGGAGUCUCCUCCACUCUGUACAAUAGAUGGGAGUCUCCUCCACUCUGUCCAAUAGAUGGG